rnacentral:rRNA from 1 species
GAUGAACGCUGGCGGCGUGCCUAAUACAUGCAAGUCGAGCGAACAGACGAGGAGCUUGCUCCUCUGACGUUAGCGGCGGACGGGUGAGUAACACGUGGAUAACCUACCUAUAAGACUGGGAUAACUUCGGGAAACCGGAGCUAAUACCGGAUAAUAUAUUGAACCGCAUGGUUCAAUAGUGAAAGACGGUUUUGCUGUCACUUAUAGAUGGAUCCGCGCCGCAUUAGCUAGUUGGUAAGGUAACGGCUUACCAAGGCAACGAUGCGUAGCCGACCUGAGAGGGUGAUCGGCCACACUGGAAUUGAGACCCGUUCCAGACUCCUACGGGAGGCAGCAGUAGGAAAUCUUCCGCAAUGGGCGAAAGCCUGACGGAGCAACGCCGCGUGAGUAAUGAAGGUCUUCGGAUCGUAAAACUCUGUAAUUAGGGAAAAACAAAGGUGUAAGUAACUAUGCACGUCUUGACGGUACCUAAUAAGAAAGCCACGGCUACCUACGG